rnacentral:rRNA from 1 species
AUGCUUCAUUUCCCUUCGAGCCAGGGCUGCCGGGUGAGCUGCCGGUUCCUGUUGGAGGAGGCGGGGCUUGAUGUCAACUCGGAGUCAAAGACAGGUGUGGCACCCAUGUUCUUCUUCGCCGCACUCCAGGGGAAUGUCCAGGUUACGGGGUACUUUCUUGAUCACGGCGGUGACCCUGCCAUGCCUGACGAGAGGGGCUCCACACCGCUGCACAAUGCAGCAGCGGCAGGGCACUGCGAGACUGUAAGGCUAUUGCUGUCGAAAGGAGUUAAUCUGAAUCCUAUCCAUUACCAAGGGACACCAUUACACUUGGCUGCUGUGGAGGACCAAGAUCAGGUUGUAAUGGUUCUGCUGGAGCAUGGGGCUGAUCAUGGAGCAAUACCUAUCGAGCUAGCAGCAGAUAGUGAUCGACACAAGCUUGUUCAAAUUCUAUUCCCUAGGACAAAACCAAUUAAAUCUCUGCCAGAUUGGAGUGUUGAUGGGAUAAUUAAAACUGGGAAUUCUCCAAAAAUCAAUGCUCCUCCGAUUGGUAAUGCAGGGUUAGAUGUUCCACGAGCUGCAGGCCAAACCAUGAAAGCAAUUAUGGAACUACUGAGAGUUUGUACUAUGUACCCGUUGCUGGUCUUUUUGCUUGCCAUCCUUCUAUUAUCUACUGGGGUGCAUUCCAUCAGACAUGAUACAAGUUUCAGUGAGGGCACUUGUCGAUAUGACAUGAUCAGUCUUGCAGUCCUCUCAUGCAUGCAACCGGACAAGUCAUGGAAGUCACCCUCAGUCUCAUGCUGCAAAGCACUGAUACAUGCAAUUGACGAGUUGCCGGCUAGCGGUGAGAAUGGAAAGUGUUGUUUAUGCCGUUUCAUGAGGGCAAAGCUUCAUUAUCCUGAAUUGGCAGCAACAUAUAUCUCUUGCCAUGGAAAGGACAGAGCUGUUGUUGCAAAAUGGUCGUUUCCUGUCGUGGUAUGCGGCAAAGCUUGUUCACGAAAAGAGAUUGCCCCUCCUUGUAAGGAGACCGUCAUGGAGAGGCCUCCGUCAAAUUCACAUGGCAGCAAGAUCCUUUUUAUCUUGUUUGCAGCUGUCUUCAUCAUUCUAUUGAUCUUCAUCUUGUACCUCUGGUGGGUCAGGCGGGCUGCCCCAGGGCGACGCGAAUCUCUACCGUUAAUGCCAAUUCAAAAGCAGGCCAGAUCAUCUCCCGGGAGUGGCGGCCGCCGACAAUCCUUUGGGCGGCUGAAGGAGCGUCGGCCAUCUGGAUAG